GGGGGUAUAGCUCAGUGGUAGAGCAUUUGACUGCAGCUCAAGAGGUCCUGGGUUUAAGCCCAGGUGCCCCCU